AGCCAACUGAAUGUCUCCACUCAGCUUCGACGCCUUGUGAGGAGGCAGGAAGGAGGAGAAGCCGUCGAGCAGCUUUGUACACUUCAGACGCCAUUUCUCCAUCAAGAACUCAAUAAGGUGAUGCCCACUAAAAAAGGUGGUGAUGAAAACCGAAUCUGGGCAUUUCUGGAGCAAAAAUGUUACAGUCAAAAAUAGAUCAUCGAAGCCUGUGAAGUGCAAACAACAUGAUUAAAAAAAAUGUAAUUAGAUUCGAUGAAUUAUGUAUAGAUGAAAUGGAAGAGUUCUUCAAUCUUA